GACGAACGCUGGCUGCGUGCGUAACACAUGCAAGUCGAACGCUGAAACCCUGGUGCUUGCACCGGGGUGGAUGAGUGGCGAACGGGUGAGUAACACGUGAGUAACCUGCCCCCGACUUCGGGAUAAGCCCGGGAAACUGGGUCUAAUACCGGAUAUGAGCGCCCCUCGCAUGAGGGAUGCUGGAAAGGCUUUUCGGUUGGGGAUGGGCUCGCGGCCUAUCAGUUUGUUGGUGAGGUAAUGGCUCACCAAGACGACGACGGGUAGCCGGCCUGAGAGGGCGACCGGCCACACUGGGACUGAGACACGGCCCAGACUCCUACGGGAGGCAGCAGUGGGGAAUAUUGCACAAUGGGGGAAACCCUGAUGCAGCGACGCAGCGUGCGGGAUGACGGCCUUCGGGUUGUAAACCGCUUUCAGCAGGGAAGAAGCCCCUUGGGGUGACGGUACCUGCAGAAGAAGUACCGGCUAACUACGUGCCAGCAGCCGCCGCAG
rnacentral:rRNA from 1 species